UUGUGUUCAUGAAAACUGCCAGAUUGACAGUGACUCACAUCUAGCAUCCGCAGUAUGUGUGCAGUGGUAUUUCAGGCUUACCCACACUGUUCUGCUUGUAUGCCUGAACCAUAAUUCACUGAUACCACCUCUGGGAGCCAGAAGGUAGUUCAGUGUUCAUUCCCAUUCACUCCUUGGCCUCU
ensembl:misc_RNA